UGUCCCUCCCAAGUCUAAGGGACCUACUUGGACCUCCCAUUUGGUAAGUCUCUGGGUUUCUCCUCUGCCAGCCUUGCCAGCCCUGCCCUGGUCCCCUGUAACCCCAUUCAGAGGCCCCUGGGGUAGUUAAAAGCCCACCUUUGUGUUGACAAAAAGAGUUAAACUCUGUAAAAUAUUUGAAGAGAUUUAUUCUGAGCCAAAUGUAAGUGAACAUGGCCUGUGACACAGCCCUCAGGAGACCCUGAGAACAUGUGCUCCAGGUGGUCGGGGAACAGCGUGGUUUUAUACAUUUUAGGGAGACAUGAGAGAUCAAUCAAAUACAUUUAAGAUAUACAUUGGUCCUGUCCAGAAAGGCAAAACAACUUGAUGUGGGGGCUUCUAGAUUAUAGGUAGAUAUAACAAUUUUCUGAUUGGCAAUUGGUUGAAAGAGUAAUUAUCGAUAGAAAGGAAUGCCUGGGUUGUAAGAGGUUGUGGAGACCAAAGUUUUAUCAUGCAGAUGAAGCCUCCAGGUAGAAGACUUCAGAGAGAAUAGAUUGUAAAUGCUUCUUAUCAGCCUUAAGGUCUGUGUUGAUGUUAAUGCUGGAGGGUAUGAUGAGGCAUGUUCGACUCCCACUUCCCAUCAUGGCCUGAACCAGUCUUUCAGGUUUAAUUUUCGAGUGUCCUGGCCCAGAAGGAAGUCCAUUUAGAUGGUUGAGGGGGCCUCAGAAUUUUGUUUAGUCCCCAUGGCUCCCUCUAAAGUUGAACUCAUAGUCCUUUCUUCUUGCAAGAGUUCCUGUAAGAAAAAAAAUAAAACAACACCAAAAACACUAAUCACAGGAAAACUCCAAAGCUUUAGGUGCAACAUGGUGGGGAAGUUAAAAGCACAGCUUGGAAGUCAGGCUUCUUGGGUUGCUGACCCUGGUCUACAACUAUGUAGCUUCUACAGCUUGGUGCUAUAGUCUGAAUGUCUGUGUCCCCUGAAAGUUUAUAUGUUGAAACCUAAUGAAUGUGAAAAUUGCAGAUACCAGGAUGAAAUCACUUUUCAUCCUAGCUCAUGCUUACAUGUCUGAAAUGAGAACUGUUUCCAAGGACUUUCUAAAAACGUUUUUAUGUCCUUCAUGUAUCUCUCGCUUUGCUAGAUCCCUAGAUGUUCUCCAGGACUGCUGUUAUUCAGAUAAGAUGUUUUCAGAACACUUGCCCAGUGAUGGCAUCUCUACCAAUGAACUGACAGCAACUCUGGCUUUGAAUCUCUGGAACCAAUUAACUUUGUUCCACAGGAGGAAUCUCAGAUAAGACUUUCUUAAAGCCAUGCCCAGCCAUGGAUUUGUGCCAUCAAAUACUUAUAAAUUGGGUGAAUUUCCUCUCCUCUUGAGGUUCUGAGGUAAACCUGGGGCUUAUGUGCCUGUCAGAAAGUGACAUUCUUUACUUACUACAGGUCAGAAAUCUUAAACCUGCAUGUAAGAGCACCUGUUGGAGUUUUACAGCUGAUUAUAAAACCACCUUCUAAAGAGGACCAAAAUAGGCCAGGUGUGUGGCUCACAUCUGUAAUUUCAGCACUUUGAGAGGCCAAGGUGGGCUGAUCACCUGAGGUCAGGAGUUCAAGACCAGCCUGGCCAACAUGGUGAAACCCCAUCUCUACUGAAAAUACAAAAAAAUUAGCUGGGCAUGGUGGUGUAUGCCUGUAAUCCCAGCUACUCGGGAGGCUGAGGCAGGAGAACCGCUUGAACCUGGGAGGUGGCAGUUGCAGUGAGCCAAGAUCGUGCCGCUGCACUCCAGCCUGGGCAACAGAGUGAGUCCCCAUCUCAAAAAUAAUAAUAAAAAUAUAUUUAAAAAAGAGGACCAAAACAACAAUUGUGCAUGGAAGAAAAAAGUUUUAAGGCAGCCAUAGUCAAAAGACAAAACUGACAAGGAAAUUUUUUACCUCUGUGGCACACAAUAAUUUUAAUAUAACAAUUAUGAUUAUUACUGAUAAUGUACACUAAGUUAUAUUAGAAUUAUAGGAGUUUCACAUAAUUUUGGAACAUACACCAAUAACAUAUUUAUACAAAUACAGCCCAAAGAAAACCAAACACCAUUUCACAUUUGACAAUGCUUCCUAUAUAAUUUUUAUACCAAAUAAGCCAAAUUAUGUCAUUUUAGGACUUUAGGGAAACUAAGAUCUUAAAGGAUUAAUUAGGUUAGAAAAAUACAUAAUUUAUAAUUUGAUUUUGGAAAGCUUGUCAAAUACAAAAGGUUUAAAACACUUGACAUUACAAAAUAAAAUUACAGGUCAUCGUAAAGUCAUUUAUUUAAUCCAAGUGAUAAUUCAAGGAUUUCAAAAAAAGCAAAAACCUUCAUUCUUUGAGAGAGGUGACUUAACUUUCUAAACAAGAAGCCCUAAUAAAAACAGCCUGAAGCCAAUCACAUUUGAUUUUCAAAAUUUUGUAAACAAACUAUAAGAUUUAAUCUUGAUUAUAAAAUAUAACUUCCAUAAGCCUUUUAUAACCUUUAUGAAGGAGUUGGUUAAUGCUUCAAGAAAACCUUGCUAAUCAGACACAGGGGUCCAUAUACUGAUUUUGCAUCAGUGUGCCUUUGACUUGAAUGAUUAGUUCAUAGAGAAACUGAACUUACUGGAUCUUUCAAAAUCGGCCCUUACAAUCUUACGCGCCCACCUCUUCCGCAAUAGUCCCUGGGCCUUGAGGAGUUGAAUAGCUUUAAUUUCUUGCCUAGUGCCUCAGGAAUGCAGUUUAUUUUGAUUGGCAUCUUCUACGGGGCCUUAAGAUGAGGCUUUGAUUGUCAUCAGUGUUUGUGAUUUUUCAGACACAGGAGUUAAAGCCCUGUAACUCAAUGUUACAAGGACUUUAAAAGCAUACACAGGAAGAUACAUGGAUGUAAUAACCUUGAUUUUUUAAAAAUUAGCUCUUUCUUCCCUAAGCAAACCAAAACUUAAUAAUAAUAUGACAACUUGAUUAUAUAAAAGCUUUUGGGGUGUGUGUGUGUGUGUGUAUAUAUAUAUAUAAAAUCUUAUCAUGACUUACACCAAUGUUCAUGACAUGCUUGGACUUUCUGGUUUGUCCUGAACAUCCCUCCUUGUUAAACAACCAGUUAUUUUAUUUUAGGACUAAAUUUACCAUAUAAAAUUCUUUCUUAUAUAAAAUUAUUUCUUUUUCAGCUUUUUAACCUUGAAAAAAUUCUUUAUUUUUAUAACUUUAUUUACAUUUUUUUUCUUUUCUGGUUCCUUUUACCUUGUUUUAUAUAUAACCUUUUAAUAAGCUUUGAAUUAGACAAAACUUGUUCACCAUUUUUUUAAAAAAGGACACACUUUUUUUUAAGCAACAAUGUUUUCCUACAAGAUAUAUUUAUUGGAAAAUACCCAAAUAAUAAAUUAUCUAUUAUUUAAUUUAAUAUGACUUUAUAUUCUAAAUUAUGUCCAGUUGGUCUAUAAGUAUUUAUCCCAUUACAUUUACCUAGUUAUUUUAUUAAUUGUUUACCUAGAUUAUUUAUAAAAACUGUGAUAGUCAUGAUUUAAAGUUAUGAAACUUCCAUUGCAAAAUUACAACUGAGACAGUGAAAAACGAUUUGACCUAACUGACUCCACCUUGCUCUUAACUUCCAAGCUGUCCUUGUUCAUUCCUGGGCAUAGGCCGAAUGAACUUUGGGAGGAACCUAGUUUAAGUUCAGCUUCGAAACAAUGACAAUAACAGUCCUUUCCCAAAACAAACCUCCUUAUUGUCUGUGGACUAAACUGCCUAAAGCCACAGGAUUAGAAGUUAUGGUAAUCUUACUAAAUUCAAGAUGCAGCUGUUUUCAUUAAACCCAUAUCAAUGUCUUAUUUAUUAAAAAUUACACAAGCAAAGAUCAUUCUGUUUUGGGCUGGGUUUAUAGUUUUAUAACCCCUAUGCCAAAUUUUGACACCUUCUGGUAUUUGGCAGGGAUAAGUAUAAAACUGUUUGAUUAAUAUAAUGCAAACAAAAAUGUAUGCUGGCAAUUCUUAAGACAUUUCUAAUACUACUUUACCAAUAAUUUUAAAGCUACUUUAUUUAUUAAAGAUUUUACUUAAGUUACAUAAAUUUGAAAAAGCAUUUGACUAGCCUUUUCUUUUUUAGUAUCUGAUUUAAGCACUUUUAUUUUUCUUUAAGCCAAGUAGAGCUCUUUUACAUAUUUUUAGCACUAAAACAUCGUGUACACAACACAUACAUACAUAUAAAGACGUAUUAGGCAUGCCAAUAGAAGUACAUUUUAUAGAUUUAUAAUGCCCCCCCACUUUUUUUUCCUAUCUUAGACUUUCAGAUUCUUGAUAACCUGUUUUACAACCCUAGGCAGUUGUCAGCUAAAUAGCCUUAAAUUUUUGCACAUUAAAGGAAACAACCCAGGUGAAAAUCAAAUAGCAAAAUUUACAUGAUAAGGUACAGAGAGGAAAAGUCUGGUGGUGUUAGAGGGAGAUGCUUUUAUUUUUCUUUGAGCGAUAUUAAACAUAAAACGAAACUACAUUCUUCCUUAACCCAAGAGUAGCCUCUGUUGCAAUAGCUAUUUUAGUCAAAAAAUCCGGUGAAAACAGAAUUCAGUCAACUGAGAAGUAAAAGGAAAAAAAAAAAAAAAACUUUUGCUACAAAAAAAAGACAAGGUCUUAGGAGAGAAAAACAAACAAGAAACAAAAACAUGAAGGCCUUUCAAAUACAAACAUGCACAAAACACACAUCAUGGAUGUUACUGUUUCAGUUAAGCAGACUUUCAACCACUGAGCUUCUUUAAAAACUUAAAAAAAAAAUCUUAUUACCAAAUCUCAGCUAGGACAAAGUGUUGCUAUUUCAGAAGUACAGCCAUUGCUCUUUGAGUUUGGUCUGGCUAGCAAAAAGCUGGCUGUGUUAUGUAAAUAAAGCCCCUAUAGUAAUUAAAAUUUAAAAAAAGUUUUUUAAGCUGGCUGUUUUCCUACCACUUCAGAGUCCUUGACCCCGUAAUUUAGGGUUCCCCUUCAGAUUUGACUAAGACAGAAACAAACAACAAAACAGUUAAGCAAAACUAACAAUGGUCACACAAAUUAUACAAUUUCUGAGUGCUCUAAGUGCAUUGGAAGAAAGCUGAAACUCCAUAAAAACAUCACCUGCCUUCCAUCAUCAUGAAAGCAGGAAAACUUGCCUUCCUUGUUGGGAGCAAGUAAAACUCCAAAAAAAGAGGUGUUGUACAGCAAAAUAAACUUCCGAUCUCUACCAAAUUUUAAGAGAUCAGGGAUUUUCUGGAGGGAGUCCUCUCAGACCUCAGCAAAUUGUCCUAUUGGUUUGAGCCAUAAAGUUAGCUCAUGCUGGUACCAAGCACCGAUAGAUUUGUCAAGGGUCAGGGGCAUCUCCACCCAGAAUCCAUUCAUGGUUUCCAAAAUGUGAACCCAGAAAAUCCGAGACAGGUCUCAGUUAAUUUAGAAAGUUUAUUUUGCCAAGGUUGAGGACACACUGUGACACAGACUCAGGAAGUCCUGAUGACAUGUGGCCAAGAUGGUUGGGGCAUACCUUGGUUUUAUACAUUUUAGGGAGACAUAAGACAUUAAUCAAUAUAUGUAAGAAGAACAUUGGUUCAGUGGGGAGGGAGCUUCCAGGUCACAGAUAGGUGAGACACAAACAGUUGCAUUCUUUUGAGUUUCUGAUUAGCCUUUCCAAAGGAGGCAAUCAGAUAUGUAUCUAUCUCAGUGAGCAGAGAGAUAACUUUGAAUAGAGUGGGAGGUGGGUUUGCCCUAAGAAGUUUCCCUAAGCUUGAGUUUUCCUUAGUGAUUCUGGGGCCCCAAGAUAUUUUCCUGUCACAGUUGACAUCCCCAACACAGUGUUUAGGGCUCAGAAAAAGAUACCCUAAAAUAGGGUGCUUUGGCAUGCUGAGUGCUUUGAAUAAAGGAGACUGAAGGGCCUCAGAAAUAAGAGAACAAAGGUCUAUCUCUGACCCACUGCUGCCCACCUCCCUUCCCUUCCAAAGCACAGGGAGGGAUUUUCUUUGAAGUUCUCUUAUUUGAUUAAGGGAAGUUUCUCCAGAAGGAAGGUAAUUGUCCUGGACACCCCUUCCUGGAAUCUACAUCGAUCAGAGAAGAUUAACUCAUAUUGCAGGACAGGAGAAUAAUUAAAAGUUGCUCAAGACAGCACACCUAGAUAGACUUUUUGCUUAUUCUUUCAACUAUAGUUAUGUGUCCAAUAACAAUGUUUCGGUCAACUGCAUAUACAACCAUGGUUUGAUAAGAUUUAUAGUGGACUUGAAAAAUUCCUAUUGCCUAAUAUACUGAAGGAAGAAAAUGUUUUAAUAUGCAUUUUGUGUACCCUAAGUGUGCUGUGUUUAUAAAGCCUACAGUAGUAUACAGUAAUGCCCUAGGCCUUCACAUUCAUUCACCACUCACUGACUCAUCUGGAGCAACUCUCAGCCCUGCAAGCUCCAUUCGUAGUAAGUGCCCUGUACAGGAGAGCCAAUUCUUAUCUUUUAUGCCAUAUUUUUACUUUCCUUUUUCUCUGUUUACAUAUGUUUAGAUACACAAAUAUUUCCCAUUGUGCUGCAAUUGCCUAUAGUAUUCAGUAGUCACAUGCUGUACAGGUGCGUAGCCUGGGAGCAAUAGGCUCUCCCAUAUAGCCUAGGUAUGCAGUAGGCUAUGCCAUCUAAGUUUUGUAUAAGUACAAUCUGUGAUAAUCACACUACAAUGCAAUUGCCUAAUGACACAUUUAUCAGAAUGCGUCCCUGUCACCAAGAGAUACAUGACUGUAUUCUUCUUCUUUUUUUUUUUUUUUUUUUUUUUUGAGAUGGGGUCUCAUUCUGACACCCAGACUGGAGUGCAGUGGCAUGAUCUUGGCUCACUGCAACCUUUACAGCC
rnacentral:lncRNA from 1 species